rnacentral:rRNA from 1 species
AUUGAACGCUAGCGGGAUGCUUUACACAUGCAAGUCGAACGCGUGGCGGACGGGUGAGUAAUAUAUCGAAACGUGCCCAGUAGCGGGGGAUAACUACUCGAAAGAGUAGCUAUUAACGCAUACUAUUGGAGGGGCCGAUAUCGGAUUAGCUAGUUGGUGGGGUAACGGAUCACCAAGGCAACGUUCCGUAGCUGGUUUGAGAGGACGGGCAGCCACACUGGGACUGAGAAACGACCCAGACUCCUACGGGAGGCCGCAGUGGGGAAAUUAGGACUAUGAGAGGAGCUCUGAACCAGACAUGACACGUGUAUGAGAAGGCAUUCGGGUUUGGAAGUACUUUUGCCAGUGUAGCGGUAUCAGAGGAAUAAGCACCGGCUAACUACGUGCCAGCAGCCGCGGUAAUAC